rnacentral:rRNA from 1 species
UCUGGUGACCAUACCGGAGGGGCCACACCCGUUCCCAUCCCGAACACGGUAGUUAAGUCCUCCAGGGCCGAUGGUACUUGGGUUUUCCCUGGGAGAGUAGGUCGUCGCCAGAAU